GGGUCCCAAGCCCCCCCAGCAGCCACAGCAGUAUCCUGACUACCCUCCCAUGGACCCUGAGCCUCCAAAUCAACCUGGCCAUUCAUCCAGAAGUCAGCACUGGCCACGCUACUUGGGGAAGCAACAAAAUCGGCUGAAGUGGCCUAAUAAACCACAUCACCUUAUCAAACGACCUCAACUGUUACAGAAACAACCCUAGACAAUUUUCAGUCUUUGCUCAACCAGACAAGUUUUUUGAGCUGCAGAACUACUGUAAUGCAAUGCCAAAUAAAACCUGACUUGAAAUAUGA